ensembl:lncRNA
AGGACUGUAGUUGGCCACCUCUGACAUAAGGUAUCGAAAGUAAAGAACUGGCCCCCAUCAGUGUUAUAGGAUUUAAUACUACUGCUACAGAUUUUUAAGGCUAAGCACAGUUUUUGUUACCAGCAUCAAAAUGCAAACCCCAGACAAAUUCCAAAGGAAUCCAAGCCAAGCAGAGUUAAGCCUCUUUCCAGAAACAAUAGCCAGCUGGAGACACAAGAUGGCAGUAACUUAAAGGAUGGAUGCAAGCAGAGCAAUAAAGGAAGCCCCGCAUACCGUCUUUCUGUGACAGUCCACCGAGGAGGCCUGAUCUAUCACAGAGCUUCCUGUCAAUGUUAGGGGG